UUAAUCAAACUCGCCUUCCACCCGCAGAUAAACCCAGCUGCCAGAGGGGACUCAGGCCGGAUUUAACUCCGUUUCUUAUUGCGGAAUUUGCAUUCUCUAGGCAUUCGUGACAAUCAGCUAAAAAACGAGUAAAUAAUGGGGAUUAUUUUAUCCUAAAUGCAUUUUAAUUGUUCACCGAAACCGAACGCACCAUGCAUCGGUAAUGUUCCUCAGAAGCCGGACAGCUUUCCUCUGCAGUGUGUCAGUCUGUCUGUCCUGGUGGGUGGAUCUUGCUGCCAACGGCAAUGUCAGUUUCCUGUCCCAAUGAGGAGGGAACAGUUCCCCUGUCGCAAGAUGUGGCAGAAUGGAGAUGAAAGGAAAGGUUUCGACUGAGCUGCAGACGUCGCCCUGAAUAUCAGAAAUGGUUCUCCUGAUGAACAUCACUGCAACCCUCACAUUGCACAGAGGUGAAGUGACUCCUCCCGAUGGGUUUCCUGGCUACAAGUCACCGUAAUUUUCCAUGACUCUCUUGGACUCUCUGAAAAGGAGACGAUGUGGAUCUUUCAGAUGCCUCUCAAAUUCUCACUGGACUUUUGUCAGCCAGUGAAGAACUCGGGAAAAGCCACAGAGCAUGGCCGAUGUUGGGAAGCACUGUGGAUACCCAAUAAUGAGUGAGCUGUGCUGUGAUGUAGCUUUAGUCUCUGACAGAUGCAUGAUUACACAAAAAUCAGAAAAUGUCAUUGGAGAAUGUUGUUCAGUUUCUGUUUGUUCUCCUGCAUUGCAGCCUAAACAGAAAUGUUUGCUGUCGUUUAGACAGACGUGUUUGUUUCUGACAGACCAUCUUUCGGUUGGGUGCUCAUCCAUACCUAGCUUUCUUUCCAGUUUCGGCUCUUCAGUAGAACAUCUGAAGCUCACUUACGUCCCCUAAUGAGAAACGUGUUUUGACAUUUCAAGCCGUCGACUUGCAUUGAAGCAAAAUGUUGAGGUAAAGGAUUCAUUUAACCAGGAAGCUCCGACCCCCACAACCAAUACCCUGAAGAGGAGACUCCAAAACUC